rnacentral:rRNA from 1 species
AGCGCAUAACCUUGCGGUCUUGUUGUGGCCGUCGAGGGGUGUUGCGUUUUGGUGGAUCCGUACCGCUCGAGUUGCUGACCGCCUAAGUCAUUGCUUGAAUGCAGCCCCGAGGAGGGUGGUAGGCCCGUGUGGCGGCGCCUGUAAAAAGGUUGGAGGCAAUUCGGGCGGAGGGGUCUUUACCGUAGAGUCGGGUUGCUUAGUACUGCAGCCCUAAGUAGGUGGUAAACUCCAUCUAAGGCUAAAUACUACCACGAGUCCGAUAUUUGACAAGUACCGUGAGGGAAAGCUGAAAAGGACUCUGAAGAGAGAGUUCAAGAGGACGUGAAACCAUUAGAAGCUGAAACGGGUGGAACCGUGAAGGUGGAAAGAGGGGAUUUCAGGUCGUGGGCGCGCGCCUCUGCGGCCAGGCGCAGUCUGUGAGAGGACCCGGCGUUAGAGUUUGUUGCCGUGGCCCCUGGCUGUGAGCGCGCGCGCCGGCGGUCUUAGUUCUCCCUCGAGUACGGGUCGUGGCGAGCCGCUGGACGGAGCCCGAGAGCCCCUUGGGACUGGUAGCCUGCACCUUUGGUGUGGGUGAUGACCCUGGGGGUAAUUUGUGGCUGCGGCCGGCGGUGACUGCAAGGAGGCAG